CUCUCACACAGAUUCACAGGUCCUCUCUUCUUUCCCACCCUCUCACUCUCCAAAAAAAAAAAGAGAAAGUAUAAAAAAAAAAGAGAAAAAGGAAAAGUUGUACAGCUUUCUUCCUUACCGCGACACCCCACCGUCGCCUCCACCAUCCACCGUGCACCUUUCUUCUUCCCUUAACCAUCACAGCCAUAAACUCACUGUCACUCCCUCACACUAACACCUCAUUUUCGCUUCCGCCGAAACAACCUAGAAUAACCGCCGUGAAUCGCCACCACUACCACUACGUCGCCGCAUCAUCUCUCAACCACCGUCAAUUUUGAACCAUCCGCCAUCUUCCUCAUAUAUUCCGGCGAUAAAUUCCAGACCUCACCGCCGUGUCAAUAACCGAACUCCUUCACACUCAGGUGAAUCCACCUCUGUUCACCGACAUCGCCGCCGCCACGGUUUGCUCUUCUAAAUUCACCACAACCAACCGCGACGCAGAUCCUCUCUUCCCCAACAGGCGAAACCAAGCAACAAACCUUCCAACUCCGCAGUGACAACAAACGACAGCAGUGACACCGCUUCGCUUCGAUGCAUAAAUCUCAAUGCCGAAUUUCUUCGACCGACCAUUCACGACAACAACCUUCGACAUCAUGGUAACAACAUGAUUUAUUUUUUGUAUUAUACUACUUUGUGUAUGUCUUUUUAUUCGAUUCCGCGGCGGUGUUUGUAUGUCUUGUUGUUGUAGAUUCGAUCCCAUGAAAUGUUUUGUUAAUGGAGGAUAUAUACUUUUGUUUAUGAAUUUGAUUGGUGAAGGAUGACGAAGCUCUCUUUUAUUUCCGGAUUUUUCCUCUCGGAUCUGUUAGAGAUUUGCCUUUUGAUAGUGUGAGUUUUAAAUUUUUCUGCAUAAUGGAUACUGAUAUGAUAGUGUGAGUUUUUAUGUUUAAAUUUUCUGCAUAAUGGAUACUGAUAUGACAGUGAAUUUUGUGUACUGCUGUAAAUUUGUGUAAA